GUGAAUCAUCGAAUUUUUGAACGCAAAUCGCGCCUUUUUCGGAAGGCAUGUCUGUUUGAGGGCACCAUUUAACAAAUAAUGUGCAUGCUGAGUGUAUUUUUACGCACACGUGCGCACGUUGAUGAGCUUUUCCAAAAAAAGAAAAUUUUUUGGUGGCGCAUAAUAAACAGCGCGAUGCUUUUUUUCAGUUCGAGUGUAGUAAAAUUUUUUCUUGCUUGGGUUGUGAAAAGCGUGAUCGCGCAAUGGGUGUGGCGAUUCUACUAACCCUGCCCCAACGCCACUCUUUCUCGCGAAAGAAUAU
rnacentral:misc_RNA from 1 species